rnacentral:rRNA from 1 species
GAUGAACGCUGGCGGCGUGCUUAACACAUGCAAGUCGAACGAAGCACUUUGAUCGAUUUCUUCGGAUUGAAAUUUUAGUGACUGAGUGGCGGACGGGUGAGUAACGCGUGGGUAACCUGCCUCACACAGGGGGAUAACAGUUGGAAACGGCUGCUAAUACCGCAUAAGCGCACAGUACCGCAUGGUACAGUGUGAAAAACUCCGGUGGUGUGAGAUGGACCCGCGUCUGAUUAGCUAGUUGGCAGGGCAACGGCCUACCAAGGCGACGAUCAGUAGCCGACCUGAGAGGGUGACCGGCACAUUGGGACUGAGACACGGCCCAAAACUCCUACGGGAGCAGCAGUGGGGAAUAUUGGCACAAUGGGGGAAACCCUGAUGCAGCGACGCCGCGUGAGCGAAGAAGUAUUUCGGAUGUAAAGCUCUAUCAGCAGG